UACGGAGGAUCCAAGCGUUAUCCGGAUUUAUUGGGUUUAAAGGGUGCGUAGGCGGCUUAUUAAGUCAGGGGUGAAAGACGGUGGCUCAACCAUCGCAGUGCCUUUGAUACUGAUGAGCUUGAAUAUACUAGAGGUAGGCGGAAUGUGACAAGUAGCGGUGAAAUGCAUAGAUAUGUCACAGAACACCGAUUGCGAAGGCAGCUUACUAUGGUAUUAUUGACGCUGAGGCACGAAAGCGUGGGGAUCAAACAGGAUUAGAUACCCUGGUAGUCCACGCCCUAAACGAUGAAUACUCGCUGUUAGCGAUAUACAGUUAGCGGCUAAGCGAAAGCGUUAAGUAUUCCACCUGGGGAGUACGCUCGCAAGAGUG
rnacentral:rRNA from 1 species